rnacentral:lncRNA from 1 species
GUUUCGUUCACACUAAUCCCUAAAGGCUGAAAUAAGGCGUAAGUCCACGCCCAGUUUAUCACUCACCAAAUAUGUAUUGAGCACCGACUGUGUACCAGGCACUCUCCCGGGCACUGGUGAAAAGUCUAAACCGCCCCUGGUGAAAUUUACUGCCCAGUGGGAUAGACAGACAUGGAAUAAGUAAUUCCACAUCACAAAUUCAGUAAUUCUAAGUGUGAAAAUUCUGCUUAGUUAAGUGGGAACAAUUUCAUGGCCUAGUUUACAAGCUCCCUUCUGAAUCUUUUGAAAGGAUUCAGAGGAACAGCAACGAGACUGCCCCAGAGAUUUCUGAUGGCCGGCCCUUCCACCUCCCACAUUUAGGGAAGGGCCAUCCUGAGAAAAGAGACAGCACUGACUCAAGUAAGGAGACCUAAGGGGGAAGGCUGGGGAGGAGCUGGGGAGGCCCUGGCGCUGCUUUCCCUCCCGACUUGGGAAAUGAGUCUCUGGGUUCAGUCUUGCAACUCUCCUGACCUCUCACAGCAUUUGGGACUGGCCCGAGACGUGGUGGGAUCAUCCCGGGUUGGCCUUCGAAGUCCUCUCUGAGUCAGCUGUCCCUGACCCGCACAUUUAGGGCUCCUCCCCUCCUCUCCCGCUCUUUCAUGCUCAGAACUCAUGUUCCAGAUGGACUCAGCUGGCAAGUGUUUGAGACGUGUCUCAGCAUCUUGUGAUGUGUUCCCGAACCUCUGGGCCCCUGCGUGGGGGAAGGGAAGGAAGACGGUGGAGCAUCCAUGGCAAUGUUGGCCCCAGCGCUUUUUUGCUCUGAAAUCCUGGAUUCUCUUGAAGCUCCUGACAGCAAUAGAGCUUGAAAAUACCCUAAUUGGAACGAAGCAGUCCGUGCUCCUCCCGCUGUUCUCACUUCGCAUUAGUUCAACGGUCAUUGUGUGUGUCACGGCAGAUGUAAUUUGUAGAAGAGUAACUGGAGGGUUUAGAGUUUCAAAAUGUAAACCAAACCCUAAGGAACAUGAGG